UACGUAGGGUGCAAGCGUUGCCCGGAUUUAUUGGGCGUAAAGGGCGCGUAGGCGGCUCUGCACGUUCGUUGUGAAAUCGCCCGGCUCAACUGGGCGGGGUCAGCGGAUACGGCAGAGCUUGAGCAAGCUAGGGGGCAAUGGAAUUCCCGGUGUAGUGGUGGAAUGCGCAGAGAUCAGGAGGAACACCCGUAGCGAAGGCGGCACUCUGGGCCGAUACUGACACUGAGGAGCGAAAGCGUGGGGGAGCGAACAGG
rnacentral:rRNA from 1 species